GAUGAACGCUGGCGGCGUGCCUAAUACAUGCAAGUCGAGCGAACAGAUGAGGAGCUUGCUUCUCUGACGUUAGCGGCGGACGGGUGAGUAACACGUGGAUAACCUACCUAUAAGACUGGGAUAACUUCGGGAAACCGGAGCUAAUACCGGAUAAUAUAUUGAACCGCAUGGUUCAAUAGUGAAAGACGGUUUUGCUGUCACUUAUAGCUGGAUCCGCGCCGCAUUAGCUAGUUGGUAAGGUAACGGCUUACCAAGGCAACGAUGCGUAGCCGACCUGAGAGGGGGAUCGGCCACACUGGAACUGAGACACGGUCCAGACUCCUACGGGAGGCAGCAGUAGGGAAUCUUCCGCAAUGGGCGAAAGCCUGACGGAGCAACGCCGCGUGAGUGAUGAAGGUCUUCGGAUCGUAAAACUCUGUUAUUAGGGAAGAACAAAUGUGUAAGUAACUAUGCACGUCUUGACGGUACCUAAUCAGAAAGCCACGGCUAACUACGUG
rnacentral:rRNA from 1 species